UCCGAUGUAGUGUAMGKCAUAUCACAGUCCGCUCUCACCGGGCAGACCGGGGUUCGACUCCCCGCAUCGGAG
rnacentral:tRNA from 1 species